rnacentral:rRNA from 1 species
UACGGAGGAUCCAAGCGUUAUCCGGAUUUAUUGGGUUUAAAGGGUGCGUAGGCGGCUUAUUAAGUCAGGGGUGAAAGACGGUGGCUCAACCAUCGCAGUGCCUUUGAUACUGAUGAGCUUGAAUACACUUGAGGUAGGCGGAAUGUGACAAGUAGCGGUGAAAUGCAUAGAUAUGUCACAGAACACCAAUUGCGAAGGCAGCUUACUAAGGUGUUAUUGACGCUGAGGCGCGAAAGCAAGGGGAUCAAACAGG